AAAUUGAAGAGUUUGAUCAUGGCUCAGAUUGAACGCUGGCGGCAGGCCUAACACAUGCAAGUCGAACGGUAACAGGAAGCAGCUUGCUGCUUUGCUGACGAGUGGCGGACGGGUGAGUAAUGUCUGGGAAACUGCCUGAUGGAGGGGGAUAACUACUGGAAACGGUGGCUAAUACCGCAUAACGUCGCAAGACCAAAGAGGGGGACCUUCGGGCCUCUUGCCAUCAGAUGUGCCCAGAUGGGAUUAGCUGGUUGGUGAGGUAACGGCUCACCAAGGCGACGAUCCCUAGCUGGUCUGAGAGGAUGACCAGCCACACUGGAACUGAGACACGGUCCAGACUCCUACGGGAGGCAGCAGUGGGGAAUAUUGCACAAUGGGCGCAAGCCUGAUGCAGCCAUGCCGCGUGUAUGAAGAAGGCCUUCGGGUUGUAAAGUACUUUCAGCGGGGAGGAAGGUGUUGUGGUUAAUAA
rnacentral:rRNA from 1 species